UACGUAGGGUGCGAGCGUUGCCCGGAUUUAUUGGGCGUAAAGGGCGCGUAGGCGGCGCAACAAGUCACUUGUGAAAUCUCCGGGCUUAACCCGGAGCGGUCAAGUGAUACUGUCGUGCUAGAGUGCGGAAGGGGCUACUGGAAUUCUCGGUGUAGCGGUGAAAUGCGUAGAUAUCAGGAGGAACACCGGUGGCGAAGGCGGGUCUCUGGGCCGAAACUGACGCUGAGGAGCGAAAGCGUGGGGAGCGAACAGG
rnacentral:rRNA from 1 species